rnacentral:rRNA from 3 species
AAUCCAUAGGUUAAUGAGGCGAACCGGGGGAACUGAAACAUCUAAGUACCCCGAGGAAAAGAAAUCAACCGAGAUUCCCCCAGUAGCGGCGAGCGAACGGGGAGGAGCCCAGAGCCUGAAUCAGCAUGUGUGUUAGUGGAAGCGUCUGGAAAGGCGCGCGAUACAGGGUGACAGCCCCGUACACAAAAGCGCAUGUGCUGUGAGCUCGAUGAGUAGGGCGGGACACGUGGUAUCCUGUCUGAAUAUGGGGGGACCAUCCUCCAAGGCUAAAUACUCCUGACUGACCGAUAGUGAACCAGUACCGUGAGG